ACUCCUACGGGGAGGCAGCAGUGGGGAAUAUUGCACAAUGGGGGGAAACCCUGAUGCAGCCAUGCCGCGUGUGUGAAGAAGGCCUUCGGGUUGUAAAGCACUUUCAGUAGGGAGGAAGGUAGUGUAGUUAACACCUUGCAUUAUUUGACGUUACCUACAGAAGAAGUCACCGGCUAACUCCGUGCCAGCAGCCGCGGUAAUACGGAGGGUGCGAGCGUUAAUCGGAAUUACUGGGCGUAAAGCGCAUGCAGGCGGCCUGUUAAGUCAGAUGUGAAAGCCCGGGGCUUAACCUCGGAAUUGCAUUUGAAACUGGCAGGCUAGAGUCUUGUAGAGGGGGGGUAGAAUUUCAGGGUGUAGCGGUGAAAUGCGUAGAGAUCUGAAGGAAUACCAGUGGCGAAGGCGGCCCCCUGGACAAAGACUGACGCUCAGA
rnacentral:rRNA from 1 species